rnacentral:rRNA from 1 species
ACACAUGCAAGUCGAACGGUAACAGGGAGCUUGCUCCGCUGACGAGUGGCGAACGGGUGAGUAAUAUAUCGGAACGUACCCAAGAGUGGGGGAUAACGUAGCGAAAGUUACGCUAAUACCGCAUACGAUCUAUGGAUGAAAGCAGGGGACCUUCGGGCCUUGUGCUCCUGGAGCGGCCGAUAUCUGAUUAGCUAGUUGGUGAGGUAAAGGCUCACCAAGGCGACGAUCAGUAGCUGGUCUGAGAGGACGACCAGCCACACUGGAACUGAGACACGGUCCAGACUCCUACGGGAGGCAGCAGUGGGGAAUUUUGGACAAUGGGCGCAAGCCUGAUCCAGCAAUGCCGCGUGAGUGAAGAAGGCCUUCGGGUUGUAAAGCUCUUUUGUCAGGGAAGAAACGGCUGUGGCUAAUAUCCACGGCUAAUGACGGUACCUGAAGAAUAAGCACCGGCUAACUACGUGCCAGCAGCCGCGGUAAUACGUAGGGUGCAAGCGUUAAUCGGAAUUACUGGGCGUAAAGCGUGCGCAGGCGGUUUUGUAAGUCUGUCGUGAAAUCCCCGGGCUCAACCUGGGAAUUGCGAUGGAGACUGCAAGGCUAGAAUCUGGCAGAGGGGGGUAGAAUUCCACGUGUAGCAGUGAAAUGCGUAGAGAUGUGGAGGA